rnacentral:rRNA from 1 species
AGAGUUUGAUCCUGGCUCAGGAUGAACGCUGACAGAAUGCUUAACACAUGCAAGUCGACUCGAGUCUUCGGACUUGGGUGGCGCACGGGUGAGUAACGCGUAAAGAACUUGCCUCUUAGACCGGGACAACAUCUGGAAACGGAUGCUAAUACCGGAUAUUAUGGUUUUUUCGCAUGGAGGAAUCAUGAAAGCUAGAUGCGCUAAGAGAGAGCUUUGCGUCCCAUUAGCUGGUUGGUGAGGUAACGGCCCACCAAGGCAAUGAUGGGUAGCCGGCCUGAGAGGGUGAACGGCCACAAGGGGACUGAGACACGGCCCUUACUCCUACGGGAGGCAGCAGUGGGGAAUAUUGGACAAUGGACCACAAGUCUGGUCCAGCAAUUCUGUGUGCACGAUGACGUUUUUCGGAAUGUAAAGUGCUUUCAGUCGGGAAGAAGUCAGUGACGGUACCGACAGAAGAAGCGACGGCUAAAUACGUGCCAGCAGCCGCGGUAAUACGUAUGUCGCAAGCGUUAUCCGGAUUUAUUGGGCGUAAAGCGCGUCUAGGCGGCAAGGAAAGUCUGAUGUGAAAAUGCGGAGCUCAACUCCGUAUGGCGUUGGAAACUGCCUUACUAGAGUACUGGAGAGGUAGGCGGAACUACAAGUGUAGAGGUGAAAUUCGUAGAUAUUUGUAGGAAUGCCGAUGGGGAAGCCAGCCUACUGGACAGAUACUGACGCUAAAGCGCGAAAGCGUGGGUAGCAAACAGGAUUAGAUACCCUGGUAGUCCACGCUGUAAACGAUGAUUACUAGGUGUUGGGGGUCAAACCUCAGCGCCCAAGCUAACGCGAUAAGUAAUCCGCCUGGGGAGUACGUACGCAAGUAUGAAACUCAAAGGAAUUGACGG